rnacentral:rRNA from 1 species
UACAGAGGGUGCGAGCGUUAAUCGGAAUUACUGGGCGUAAAGCGUGCGUAGACGGUUAUUUAAGUCGGAUGUGAAAGCCCCGGGCUCAACCUGGGAAUUGCAUUCGAGACUGAAUAGCUAGGGUACGGUAGAGGGAAGCGGAAUUUCCGGUGUAGCGGUGAAAUACGUAGAUAUCGGAAGGAACAUCAGUGGCGAAAGCGGCUUCCUGGACCAGUACCGACGUUCAGGCACGAAAGCGUGGGGAGCAAACAGG